AAUGGUCCAAUGUUUUGAAAGUCACCUACAAUGUAUUUUAUUUAAGGCAUAAAACCUCUCAUCUUUUCAUUAAAUUUAGAUUGCUUAUACAAUCGUGUAGUGUUCGCAAUCAUUUAAACACAUUUCUUAUGAAUCUACUUUUUAUUUGGACAGAAAGUGUUACGGGUUAACAUAAUCUGAACUGUUUUACACUUUUACCUUAAGCCUAUUUUCCUUCGAAUCCAUAGUGCCACCUCUAGCUUCAAGGAUUAAGUCUUGAUACUUUUGUAAGCAGGACAUUUUGAGUGGUGAAUAAACAGGAACGGUGAACCUGACCGACCAUUGAUAGUACAUUGGUUUCAUUGAACAGGAAUGGUGAACCUGACCGACCAUUGAUAGUACAUGUUGGAUUUCUUGGAGUUGAAAAGAGCUUAAAUUUCCUCAAAGGUGUCAUGGAAAAGAUCCCGGAAGUAUGGUUAGCUUUUGUUGGUGAUCGUUCACACAGGCUUGAUUUGAUGGCAGAGUGACGUUGGUGGUGGGAUCUGAUGGCGGAUUUGAAAAUGGCAGUGAGUGCAAGAGGUAUGGUGGUGGUGAUGGAUUUGUUGUUGAUGAAGGUUGUAAGGGUGAUUAGAUGCGGUAGUAGUUAUGAUUAACGGUUGUGGUGGCGUGUGAGAUUUCCCUGCUAGGCUAGUAGGUGGUUGUGGUUGGAUUCAGAAAGGUAAUAGGCCGAUUGCAAACGGUAAAUAGGCUCAUUCCAAAAGGACAUUCGCUGAUGAAAUUAAGUCGUUUUUUUUUUUUCUUUUUGAACAAUAAAUUAGGCGUUUUAUAGACAUAAUAAUUUUGCUUAGACAUGUUUUUUCUUAUAUUGUUUAUAUUGGCUCUUCAAUAAAUAAUUUAUAUACCUAAUCUAUAAGGCUAUUAUAUGAGUUAA